UAAACACACUGCUCCUGUGCAGAUAGGGGA
rnacentral:piRNA from 1 species